UGCCACAGCAUGGCUUGAUGAGCAGUGUGUAGGUCCGUGCCCAGGAUCUGUACCCACAAAUCCUGGGCCACUGAAGCAGAGCGUGCAAACUUAACCACAAUACCACCAGGGUCCCCUGGCUUUUUUCGCAUAGCGUUAUGUUCCCAAGGUUCAUCCAUAUUGUAGCACGUGUCAGAACUUCACUUCUUUAUAUGGCCGAAUAACACUCACGUUUUAUUUAUCCCUUUGUCACUUGAUAGACAUUUGGGUUGAUGAUAUUUUGGGCUAUUAUAAUAAUGCAGCUAUGAACAUUCAUGUGUGAGUUUUUGUGUGGCCGUCCAUUUUCAUUUCUCUUGAGUAUAUACCCAGGAGUGGAAUUGCUGGGUCAUAGGGCGACUCCAUUUUAACAUUUUGAGGAAGUGCCAGAGGCACGUUUUAUACUGUGUUUUUCAGCUUUGUAGGAUGGACUGAAAGUAGAGAAAAUACUGUGAGGAGCACCCCGUAGCCAUCAUCCAGGCUCAGCGAUGAUCGCCCUUCUUCUGGGCUUGUUUCACCCCCUCCCCUUCUCCACCGUUGUUACCCACUGAGUAGUUUGAAGCCGCUUCAAACCCUGCCCGUCUUGUUCGCUUGGCUCAGAGGUCAACUUUUGCUUUUGUUCCAAGUCGUCUACACCCAUAUUCUUGGGCAGAUGGAGUUUGGGGAGAAUGGAGGAGUUGGGGCAGAGUCGAGAGUGGGUCAGUGUGGGGUGGGAAAGGAAUAGCUCCUGAGUGAUGCAGGACGGGCUGUGUAAUUUACAAAAUGAAAAUACGGAGCCCUUUGUUCAGAAAUUAUCGAGAAGUGCAAGAUGACGACAGCAGAGCAGUAUACCAAACCUGGGCCCUGUGCACGGCCCAGGUCUCGUGCCCAUGAGGCCCGGCCAAAGGGUGCCCUAGCAGCACGGAUGUGUUGGACACAGGAAUGUAGAGCCGUGGGCAUCUGGGAGAGACAAGGACCCCUUACCCCCAAUCCCUGGAAACGUUCCAAGGAAAGUUUGGGUCUCCCAUGGCACUCGGGACAGGGUUCAAGCCCGUUUCAUUUGAAUCUCUAAAAAUAAGAUGACCCCAGCUGACAUGUGGGUUGUAAGUACUUUUAAAAAAUAGCCACUUGUCUUACUAAGCCUUCUUCCCUAAGAGCCUGCAGUUGUUUUAUUUGGCCACACCAUUUUGUCCUGGGCUCUGAGCGUGCUCGGGUGUCACAGCGAAUGACAGGCUGCGGUCUGCAGAACAGAGGGCUGCUGGUUAGCAACCAACGCGCAGCAGGGAUGCCCAGGAGAGGCAGGUGGCCCUGGCACAUCUUGGCAACCAGUGUGGCACCCAGCCCCUCCCAGACAGAGCUCCACUAGCCUUCUCCAAGGAUGGUCUCCACCAACCAGAGGAACCUUAGUUCCUGCGCUUAUCUAGACUCUCCACCCAAGAAUCCACCCAGAGACUCAGAGCCCACAGUGUGUUGGAAUGGCACCCAAGGAUGUACUUGCACUAACAGAACCUCGUCAUGAAGGGGUGUGCAACUCGACUGGGAAGGACGGGCGGGGACUCAGUGAGGAAGGCACAGACGAGGAUUUGCACUCCCCCCUGUUCUCCGCGGGGUUCUCAAUGAGUGAAGGAAUGUUCAUUCAUUCAUUCCGUUAUUUGAAUGCCUAUGGUACACGACGGGGCUGUAUGCCGGCCAUGAUCAAUACAGUAACCGACGAGACAGACCCAGUUCCUACUCUUAAGGCCGGGAGAGGCAAUCAUAAACCAAACAUGAACAACAAAACAUUUUAAAUUUGAUUAAAAUAAUGUAAUGAUUGCUAAAAACAACCACAGCCACAGGUCUGAGUAAACCUGCUCGCAGCUUCCGGGUUUGUAGACAGCCAGCGUGGAUCUCAAAGCAAAGCCCAAUUUAGGACUGAGGUCGGUCUCAGCAGUGAGCUUAGAAGCAGCAAAGCCAGGAGAAGGCUCCAGAGGAGGUAGGUGGCUCUGCUUUUUCUCUUAUUUUUCUGCCAGCACCUUCUACCCCACUUCCGGUAACAGACCUGACACCCAGUGGGCCUACGGCCAAAGAUGGCCACUCACGGCCUCCAUCCUGCUACAGUAAUUGGUCCAGGUGGGGACACGUGACCCAAUGUGGCCAAUCGCAGCAGCCCACCACUGAGCCGGGCCACAGUGAUUGGUCCAGUGUGGUCACGUGACCCAAGCGUGGCCAAUCCAGGAUGGUCCUUACUACAGCUGGGAAAAGGUUGCCGCUUUCUCCCUCAGCAUCCAGAGCUGCUUGUGACCCCAGAGACCCCAGGCACAAAGGGCGGGGGAGAUGAGAGAUAGGGUGGAGGGAGGGGAGUAGGAGAGAGGUGCGCUGCCCUGUGACCCCACAGCCUUCCAGCCCUGCGUCCAAGAGCAGCCCAGCUUCUCCCUUUCUUCACCGUAGCUCCCCGAGUGAAUUAAAUCCCCAUCUUGCCUCAGUCCGAUCAACUCUGGUUUCUGCGCGGCCCAACACGUCCCAGUUUAGGGCGUGGGACUGUUUCCCUCUUCGUGGAUUGUGUGAAACUAAAAGGGGUAGGUCAGCCUCAGAGCUCAUUCUCCCCGGGCUGUGCCUCCAGCACUUGAGAAUAAAAGCAUCGUCAGACACAUCUCCAUCCCCCCAUUAAUUUCCCACUGAAUCAGAGCUAAACACUUGCUCUUGGACUUCAGGUUCCACCCUAUUCCUGCUUGCCUCCGUCUCCCCAACCUCACCCCGAAAACACCCCCUUCUCCUCUUUGCUGCGCUCUCCACCAUGGGCGGAGCGUGCUGCUUGUCCCGGCCGCUGCUCCGAUGCCCCCCAUGUUAUAUUUGUAAUGAUUUUGUUUGACUGGUUUCCCCCAUGAGUGGGGACCUUGAGCAUGGGGACCCGGGCUUCCCCCAUCUUCGUACCCCCGGGUGCUGGCGCGCAGCAGGGAGACAGCAAGCGUGGGAGGGCGGGAGGCAGGGAAGGAUGGAGGAGGGGAGACAGGGGUGUUCAUUCCUGUUUAUUCUGGUCCAACCAGUGGUCCCUCGGAGGGUCAAGUUUAUAUUCGUUUCCUCUGCUGGAGACUCCCGCGUCAGGUAGACACAGAGCUGUUUCCCUCACUCCUUCAGGCCUCUACUCCAAAGUCACCUUCCCCCGGGAACUGCAUUCUCCCAGUCCCCUUCUCGACCCCUGUCCCUCUUCCAUGCUUUCUUGUCCUCUUUAGCACCCUCCACCACCAUCGCUCCUUCUCUGUGGUCCAUUUCUUUUACUUACUCUCUCUCUCACUGAAAUGUCAGCUCCAGGUGGACAGGCAUCUUUGUUUUCUUCUCUGCUGUCUGUAUCCUCAGCACCUAGAACUGUGCUUGUCACCCGGUAGACGCUCAGUACCUAUCUGUGGAAUGAAUGGAUGAAUGAAUGAAUGCUUUGUGUUCACCAAACCACAGUUCUAGCAAACUUGUUUCUUAAAGAACCUAUGCGCUCCAUGGAUUUUCCAGGUGUUAGGAAAGUCAGGUGACGUGUGAGUUUCCCAGGGCCGCUGUAGCAAAUUACUACACAUUGAGUGGCUUAAAACAACAGGAAUUUAUUAUUUCACAGUUCUGGAGGCUAGAAACCCAAAAUCUGGCGGGGCUGCACUGACCCCAGGGGCUCCGGGGGAAAAUCUGUUCCUUGCCUCUUCCAGCUUCCGGUGGCUCCAUGACUUGUGGGCACAUCACUCCAGUCUCUGCUUCUAUCUUCACACGUUCUUCUUCUCCCUGUGUCUGUCUGUGCUUCUGUCUUAGAAGAAGGCAUGUGAUUGCUUUUACUGCUUAUCCAGAUAACCCAGGACAAACUCCUCUCCAGAUCCCUAACUGGAUCACCUCUUUUGUCAUAUAAGGUCAUAUUCACGGGUUCCAGGAACUGGAAGGUGGGCAUACCUUUCUGUUUUUCACAUCUCUUUUUUCACAUUUCUCUUUCAAUCCAUCCAGCCCUUAGUGGUUAUUUGCAUAAAGACCAGAAAAGCAGAUUCCCACCACUACUGCAUUGGCCUCACAGAUAUUUAACAAAAAGAGUAUUAUUGUUGUAUUAUCUUGCUCGCAUCCGAGUGUGGAAAUGAUUUUUCAAACACCAUUUUAUGUUUUUUAUUUAUCCUGAUUUUUAAAAAUAAUACCGUGCUUAUGGUAAAUAAAAAAUAGUACAGAAGAGAAAAAUGUGGGAAAUAAAGGAGCGCCUUUGCAAUUUUUCUCGAACUCCAAUUUCACUUUCUGAAAAGUAGCUACUGUAUGCGGUUGGCAUAAUCGUCAUAAAUUUUCUAAGCAUUUUCGAGUGCCUGCACUUUCUCUGCUCAUAACGUUAAGAAAAUCGGGUGUGCUCCCAUAUAUCCUGAAGACACGACAGCCCUCAGACCCACCGCCUUCUUUUUAAAGCCUUGUAGCAUGGCACCAUACCCAACCUGUCCCUCACUGGCUGACGUUUCAGGUAACUCGAGGAUUUUGCUGUUAUAACAUAUAUAUUUUUUGGCAUGUGUCCAAGUAGACUUACAGGAUACAUUCCUAGAAGUGGUCUUUCUCAGUGAGAGGAUAGGUGCAUUUUUAAUUUCUACAGCGACUUCCCAGUGUUCUUCCAAAAGGUUGUAUCAUUCACACGCCCAUCAACAGUGUACGUGCUGUUUCCAGCACCCUCGCCCAACCUGGCAAGGACGCGGUGUGUCAGGGGAAGCAAAUCCUAAAUGAGGUAAGUGGACUUUCCCUGUGGCCUGGGUAGGGGUGGACAUGGCCUCCAAGGUUGUCCCUGUGGCUCUCUGAGGUGCUAAGCCGUCCAGAGCUCUCGUUAGUUUGGGUUUUAUAAACAAAGACAGAGUUUGGGGAGGUGAGCCAGAACCGUGCAGCAAGAAGCGUUAUGCAACUCAGUAUUUAUUUCUUUAGUGCAGUUAGAACUUAAAUAUGGUCAAAACAUAUUCUUCUUUUAAUUUACACAAACAAAUAUGUUCCCAGGCUGACACCUCGGGUGCCAAGUUUCUAGGGGAAACGAAAUUCUCCUCUGAGAUUAUAAACCACUAGAGAGAAGAUGGAAAUGGAAAAGCCACCGCGAGUCAGCUUCACACAUCCAGAACUGGGCUGCUAAGAGCUGUCUCUUUCUGUCUUAGCUGCGGAGAAACCUGCCAGUAAUUUCAGCAAAUGAAACGUGGGCCGCAGAAAGGCCAGAGGAUGGAAGAUGCUCCGGUUUUGACAAAAGGAGGUCUGCUCAGCUUGGAAUCCUCUCUCCUGUGAGUCAGGAGAUGGAAAGCUAUAUCCAGAGGGGCUGAUGAAUUGAGAGAAAAAGAAACGAGGCCAGUCCCCUGACUCAGCAGUGACACAUGAAUGAUGCUCCAUAAGUAGUCAUCCCAUGGACCAACCAAUGCCACCGUCACCUCCGACCCGGCCUCCAGCCGAAAUCACAGAAACCCUUUAUAGCCACCCUGACACCCAGUUCCCAUUUCAGACAGGCUGGUAUCCAUGAUGUCACGUGAUAGAAGAUGAUUCCAGAAAAAGACUGGUCAAGAGGCUCCUGGAGGGAGAGAUGGCAGCCAGGAUUGAGAGAGUUCGUCCAGAUUUCUCGUUGCUAAGCUGUAAAGUUCCGGGCUUCGCAGCGCCCAUGCUGAUUGGCAGGGAGGCCCGGUCAGCUCCAAUCAGAAGCAGGUCGCCGAAAGGAGCAUCCACAACGCAGCUCGCCCCGGGGUUUUGGAAUUUUCUCGCUGACGUUAUGAACCGCAGAGGUCUUUGUCUAACUCUGCAAAACCUGUUCUCUUGAUCUUGUCUGCCUCUCUCUGGAGCGCAGGCUGUUGGGGGACGCCAGAGGUCCUGGAAUUUCCCCCGGAAGGAUGGGGAGUCCCUGGCUCACCGGUUUGGGCUCAGCGACAGAGAUGCCAGGGCCUGCUCGUGGUGGACCAUAGCCAACAGCGUGACGCUCUGCCACAGGCCGGUGAGAUGCCUCAGGCCCCCCAAAACUGACCUCUCCUCUCCCAGGCCAUCUUCUAAGCUUGGUGACUGGAGGAGGCUGAGGCAAAGGGGAUGCCACUGAAAGUGGGAUGGUUGGGGUGGAGACCACGUUUGUAAAGGACGUUAAAACACACAUGGAUGGUAGGGGCACGGUGGAGGGCCAUUCUGUGUUCCACCUCUAGAACCCCAAUGCAAAGAACCACUAUGAACUGAAACUUAUUUUUUAGACCACUCUAUUGAGGUACGACUGACUUACAAAAAGCUGUAUGUAUUUAGUGUCUACUACUUGAUGAGUUUGACAAUGAGUAGACACCCAGGAAACCAUCACCACGAUCUAUGCCAUAAACAUAGCCAUCACCUCCAGGAGUUUUCACCUGCCAUCUUUAUGAUUUUUAUUUUUGAUGAUAAGAACAUUUCACAUAAGAUCUACCCUUUUAACCAAAUGAGUAUAUGAUGCAGUGUUGUUAAUUAUCAUCACCAUGCUGAGUGUUAGAUCUCCAGCACUUAUUCAUCGGGUAUAAUUGAAACUUUGCACCCCUUGACCAAUAUCUCUGCCUUUCUCCCUCCUCCCAGCCCCUGGCAGUCCCCAUUCUACUCUCUGCUUCUACGAGUGUGACUAGUUUAGAUUCCUCAUAUAAAUGGACUCAUGUAGUAUUUGUCCUUCUGUGACUGGCUUAUUUCACUUAGCAUCAUGUCCUCCAGCUUCAGCCAUGUGUCCACGGAUGACACGAUUUCCUUCUUUUCUAAGACUGAGUAGUAUUUCAUUGUGUGUAUAAACCACAUUUUCUUUAUCCAUUCAUCCACCGAUGGACACUUAGGUUGCUACCAUGUCUUGGCUAUUGUGCCAGAAAUUGUACACACACAUCUGCUCCCAUCUCAAAACACCCAUUGGACAGACUGAGAAUGUGAUGGGCGUCUGCUGGUUUUGCUGCUGCUGCUUCCCUCUUUCACUAACGGAGAAGGCCUGCCACAGGGCAAGUCAUGUGACCCAGGCCUGGUCACAGUGAUUGGCUCUGGGGUGGGCACAUGAACAAGCUGGGCCAAUCAGAAUCUUCCUUGAGACUUUACUACCAGAACUAUAGGAAAAGUCUCCCUUCCUGCCCCUGGAUUUGCUGAGCUGGCGACCACAAUGAACACACGUGGAAGGUGACUGAGGGAGAUAUGAAGUCCCUGCAACAAGGCUUGAGCCCCAGGUGCAGCCCAGCCUUAGGGGAAGUCAGAUCCACUCCCUGGAUUUUAGUUACAGGAACAUGGAAGAUGAGAGGCCUCAUGAAGGAGCACUGAGGCCACCCAGCCAACAGCCAGCUGCCACACAUAUGAGGAAAGCCAUCUGGACCUUCCAGCUGAGUGCGCCCAGGCAUGACCAGCAGAGGAAGCACUCAGCUAACCUAUGAAGUCAUGGAAAAUAAUAAAUUGUUGUUUUAAGCCACUAUGUUGUGGGUUUUGUUUUUUUUUUGUCACACAGCAAAGGCUAACUGAGACAUGUUACAAGAGGCCAAGCCAGAUUCUAAGCCAGGUCUCCUAUUUCUAGACUCUGAGCCUGUCACAGCCAGAGACUG